GACGUAGGGUCCAAGCGUUGUCCGGAUUUACUGGGCGUAAAGAGCGCGUAGGCGGCUCGUUAAGUGUGAAGUGAAAUCUCCAGGGCUCAACCCGGAAACUGCUUUACAUACUGGCGAGCUGGAGUGAUGCAGAGGUUUGUGGAAUUCCUGGUGUAACGGUGAAAUCCGUUGAUAUUAUGGGGAACACCAAAAGCGAAGGCAAUUCACUGGCACACUCCUGACGCUGAAUGACGAAGCGUGGUAGCGAAUGGG
rnacentral:rRNA from 1 species